CCGCAGACGGGACACAGAGCCUGCUUCAAAAAUUCUUUCGGACCCCGAUAGAGGGACCUGAAUUUACUCGCUUGUGUCUAGAGGACCGUGGCAGUUUAUCUGAAAAUGGCGACCCAAACCAUGGACGUGGAGCCUGUUCAGACCGUGAACGCAAUUGAUGCCGCCAUCGCCGAGCUGAAGCUGAUGGCCGGCCACAGCCAUGAAGCUAAUGUGCUGGCUGGCAGGCUGCUUCAUUUUAAGAUGAGAGAAGUUUGUACCCAGACUGUGGCUCAGUUUCUGGAUGCCUUUUCCAGCGUGUUGGAUGAAGGGCUGUGUGCCUUUAUUGGAAACUACAGCCAGAGUUUGGAUGAGAUGGUUCAGCGGUAUGUGUCUGGGGGCUUUGCGGCUGUGAAGGAAAAUGGUUAUCUGGCAGCUGCUAGGUUUUAUGACACCUAUGUGCUUAGAAAUGAUGUCAAGUAUGAGAGUGUCCCCCACAUGUUUAUGCGCAUUUCGGCAUUUUGUGCUUAUCACUGCAUACAGAAUGAGUGUCUCUUCAAGACCUUGAAGCAUAUGGAGCUAGACAGGGGGAAUGUUGUGGAGAAUGCCAUGGAUUUGAUUACUUAUUUCUUUGAGAUGAUUGCUUCUCAGCAGGUGUGCUGUGCCACGCCCGUGAUGAGAUCCGCUGGUUUGAGGGAUGCUAAUUUAAGUAGUUGUUUCAUCUUUGCCCCCGCCCUGGACUCUGAGGAAAAAACUGUGGAUGCAGUGUUUUCUGAGUUAACAAAGCUGUUGGCGUGUAAGUCGGGAGUGGGUAUGGAUCUGUCCACCUACUCUCAUGGAAAGAACCUGCAUGCUGUCCUGAAGGCCCUUGAUGGACAGAUCACUUACUUUAAUGAUCACAAUAUUAGGCCCGUCAGCGUGGCUGCCUAUAUGGAGAUUUGGCAUACCAACAUCAUGGACUUUCUGACUGCGAAGCUUCCAGAGAACCCAGAACGAUGUGGCAACUUAUUUCAAGGAGUGUGCAUACCAGAGAUUUUCUUCAGAACCUACAAAAAUGAUCCAGAGUCCAAUUGGUACCUGUUUGAUCCCAAGAAGGCCGAAGUCCUAACAAACACCUAUGGGUAUAUGUUUAGUAUAGCCUACGCAGGAUUAGUGGAGCAGGGGGCAUAUGAAGCAGUGGUUCCCAUUAAGAGCGUGAUGUUCGCUCUUGUUUCCUGCAUAAUAAAGACUGGGGGGCCUUAUAUUUUGAACAAGAAAGCUAUAAACAGACAUGACUGGCAUGAAUGGUCCACACAUCAGUAUAGGGCCAUUAAUUGUGCAAAUCUUUGUGCAGAGGUGAUACAGUAUCCAGGAGAGAACGUGUCCACCUGUAACCUGGCCAAUAUCUGUCUGCCAAAGUGUUUGGAGGAUGACAAAUUUGUCUCUGGAAAGAGUUGUCUACUCACGUACGAGCGUGAGUUUUCCAUUGAGAGGCUGGAGAGGGCCACAGAGGCUGCAGUGUUUAUCAUCAAUGCCUGCAUCCAUGGUGGCACUUUACCUACACAGAGGGCCAGGCGGGGGCAGAGUGACAGGUCUAUGGGUAUUGGAGUACAAGGAUUAGCAGAUACCUUUGCUAUGAUGGGGUUGGGAUAUUUUGAUGCAGGGAGUGAGAUACUUGAUCAGAAGAUAGCAGAGACCCUGUAUUUCAAUGCACUCAAUACCAGUAUCAACUUUGUGAAGAUAGGCAAGGGGGAACCCUAUGCUAACUAUGAGCAGAGUAAGCAUUCCAUUGGGGUGCUCCAUUGGCAUGACUGGGACAUGUGUAGCCCCAUGGUCUAUACAAGAGAUGAGUGGGAAGAUUUGGCAAGGUCCUGCGAGGUACAUGGUGUAUACAAUUCACAAUUUGUGGCCUAUAUGCCUACUGCUGGCACUGGGCAAAUCACAGGUUACUCAGACUCCUUCUAUCCAUUUUAUUCAUCCAUGUCAUCCAAGGUGUCAAAUAAAGAAGAAAUCUUGCGACC
rnacentral:lncRNA from 1 species